AAAGGGAGAGAGUCGCCAUGUGAUCCCAGAAGAGAGGACACAUAAGGCCGGCGUCCUGGCACUGCUACAGUGAGGUUGGAGAUGGAGACAGACGAAUCCCCGGAAGUUCAUGAGCCAGCUAGCCUGGGGUACAUAGCAGCGAAUGGUAAAGAGAUCCCAACUCUAAACAAGAAAAAAAUGAAGACAAGACCAGCUCCUGCACCCAACACAGCCUGAUCUAAAUAGGGGCUCACAGAACAUUGGAAUGAGGGUAAAAACUUCAUCUAUAAACCAAGUUCCCAGUUUGGCCUCUGUGAUGGCUACUCUUGGUUGUCAAUGUGAUUAUAUCUGGAAUGAACUACAAUCCAGUAGUGGAUAGCACACCUGUGAUUGGAUCUUGAGGCAGGAAGACAACACACCUUUGAUCCGGAUCUUGAGGCAGGAAGGCAUACCUUUAAUCUGGGCACACCUUCCGAUGGAAGCCUCUAUAAAGAUGUGCUUGGCCGCAUCUUGUCAGCGCAUCCAUUCCUUCACUGGCAUUGAGCCUAUUUCUUCAGGAUCCAGCAUCUACAGAAGACCAGCUGAGAUACCAGGCCUCAUGGGACUGGGAACUACUAGAGUCUUGAACUUUCCAUUCACAGCUAGCCAUUGUGGGCUUGCAGCCUGUAAGUCAUUCCAAUAAAUGGAGAGAGAGAGAGAGAGAGAGAGAGAGAGAGAGAGAGAGUCAUUCGGUAAGUGACGCUAGAGAACCCUGGCUACACCCUCUGAGCUUACUUCCCCAUCCAUCGCCAGUGGCUAUUGCUGCUCUCACCAGCAGGCAUUAUGACAACCCAUGCAAUGGCUCAGUGAACAAGAGCUCCGACUGUGGACAUGAGCGGUUCAGAGGAACAAGCACGUCACACUGGUCUCCAGCUUCAUGGGAAAAUCCUGGCACCAGCAUGGAAGUAGUUUAACUGCUCUUCUGCGCUGAGAAAAAUGUCAGCAGCCAGCUGCUCACCAGGUCCAGAGGAUAAUUUUGCAAGGUUGCUUGGGUGAGUGGGGAGUUCGGCCCCUUGGAGGGAGAUAGAGGUUUAGAAUAUGCUCGGCUCCUAGGUGAUGAGUCUGAACCCUGGUAAGAAGCAGGGCUGAACACAGGAGAGGCAGGGUUUCCUUGGAGGUUAGAAACCCUUGUUACUAGAAACCUUCAUGCAGUCAGGGAAAUGCUUGGGGUGGGGAGGUGAUGGACAGCUCUGCAUUCUACCCUUGAAUUCUCCAGGUCUCACCAGCCCACGGGGCAGGGCAUCUUCUAGGCUGGCCACUGUCCUCAAGCCAUGCACAAACUGGCCCUAACUUCCUAACAUGCAUAGAAGGAAAGCAAGACUCUGUAGGUUCCCACCCCUUGUCCCUGUCACCCACUAACAGUAGCAGUAGUGCUGUGACAAACAGCACUGAUCUGGCCUGUGCCCUGUCACUGACUCCUGGUGACCCUUCUCUAAGGCAAAUGUCACUCUUCCCAUUGUGCCUUUUCGAAAACAGACUUAGGGAGUCAUUUGCCCAAGCCCUGCAAGCCAGUAAACAGUAGUGUCUAGAUGCUAAGCUUGGUGUGGACUUGGUUUGACCUGGUCUCACUGUGCAGCUGCCUCAGUAUUGACACUGAAGGGUUCAGAACACGCUACCUACAAAUAUGGCCCUGAUGAUUGUAAGGUGAAAGCUGUUGAGAAAUGUCCUAUGUAGGAAAGACUUUGUUGUUCUCCUGAAGCAGCUCACAGAAGUUCCCCAUGAGAGGACCCUUCCCUGCCUCUCUUCUCCUUGGAAGACACAGGGACACUGAGAGGAGCCUGAAUGGACAAGCCUGAUGACAUUUCCCCACUGUGACACUUAGCUAAACACCCAUCACUCUCUUCCACUCCCCACCCUCUCCUGAAUUCAGGGUACAAUGCAUGCCUGCUUCUUCAGCUCUUCAUUUCCUUACCCAGACUCCCCAUGUCACAAAAAUGUAUAUAUACAAUUUAUAUAAAAUUAGUAUGCAUGUU